UAAAAGUUUUAUUCUUGCUUAUUUAUUUAUUAUUAAAUUAUUUUAUAUGCUAGUUUUUGUUGAUAUUAUUUUUCUAAAUGAUCUGUUUUGAUUUAUGUAUUUUGCAGUAGAGAAUAUUAAAUAUUUAGGUUACUUUGAUUUGGUUAUUAUUAUUUGUUAUUGAUUAAAUAUGUGCCAGCAAUCGCGGUUAUACAUUGGAUAUAAGUAAAUAUUAUUAGUUAAUGUGGUUAUUUUGUUGUUCGUUAAUUUUUUUUUUUUAUUAUUAAAGUGAAAUUGUUAAUUUUUGUUUUAUGUUAUUUUGGGAGUGGGGAAGAAGAGAAAGAGGGAAGGAGACCAUGAAAUCUAAAUUAUUUAAACUAGGAUUAGAUACCCUAUUAUUUUUUAUUUAAAGUUUUAGCUUGGGUAUUAAUAGAUUUUGUUCUUUAAACCUAAAGAAUUUGGCGGUGUUUUAUUCUUUUUAGAGGAAUCUGUCCCGUUAUCGAUAAUCCGCGAUGAACCUUACUUUUUAUGAUUGGUUUAUAUACCGCCGUUAAUUGUUUGUAAAUUUUUUUAGAAUUAUUAAAUUUUCUUAAUUUUUUAUUGGAAUAUAUUUCAGGUCAAGGUGUAGCUUAUGAAUGGAGUGGUGAUGGAUUACAAUAUUUUUUUUAUAUACGGAUUAAUAUUAAGUAUUUGAUUUUUGAAGGUGGAUUUAAUAGUAAUCCUUUGUAGAUUGUUAGUUUGAAUUAUAGCACUGAGGCAUGUACAUAUCGCCCGUCACUCUCGUUAAUUUUGUUAAAGAUGAGAUAAGUCGUAACAAAGUAGGUGUACUGGAAAGUGUACCUAGAAUUAU
rnacentral:ncRNA from 1 species